GGGUAACGGGGUGUUAGGGCACGACACCGGAGAGGGAGCCUGAGAAACGGCUACCACAUCCAAGGAUGGCAGCAGGCGCGCAAAUUACCCAAUCCCGACACGGGGAGGUAGUGACAAUAAAUAACAAUACGGGGUUCUUUCGGAUCUCGUAAUUGGAAUGAGUACAAUUUAAACCUCUUAACGAGGAACAAUUGGGGGGCAAGUCUGGUGCCAGCAGCCGCGGUAAUUCCAGCUCCAAUAGCGUAUAUUAAAGUUGUUGCAGUUAAAAAGCUCGUAGUUGAAUUUCGGGAUCAGAUUGUCGGUCGUGCCUCGGUACGCACUGGCAUUAUUGGUUCCUACCUUCUGAAGAACCGCGAUGUCAUUAAUUUGGUGUCGUGGGGAAUCAGGACUGUUACUUUGAAAAAAUUAGAGUGUUUAAAGCAGGCGCACGCUUGAAUACAUUAGCAUGGAAUAAUGAAAUAGGACGUUUGAUUCUAUUUUGUUGGUUUCUAGGAUUGACGUAAUGAUUAAUAGGGAUAGUUGGGGGCAUUAGUAUUCAAUUGUCAGAGGUGAAAUUCUUGGAUUUAUUGAAGACUAACUACUGCGAAAGCGUUUGCCAAGGAUGUUUUCAUUAAUCAAGAACGAAAGUUAGGGGAUCGAAGACGAUCAGAUACC
rnacentral:rRNA from 1 species